GCAAGGAUUUUAAAAGUUGGUGUAAGAUGAGAAAUGCUAACUGAAAUAUUUAUCGCACUUAUUUUAUGUUUUGUGUCUCUACACAUUUCUAAUUUUUCCUCCCUAAACUUUUCCUCUUUCAGUAAUUCUUCAUUCUGGCAGUCAGCCUUUCCCAGUGGAGUCUAUGUGAUCUGAAGGAAAGUGACCACUUCCCCAGCUACAGGGGCGGACUCUGGAUCAAAUCAUAUCUGAAACUCUCUCUUAUUCGAUUUUUCUUUCUUUCUUUCUUUCUUUCUUUCUUUCUUUCUUUCUUUCUUUCUUUCUUUUUUUUAAGAUUUAUUUAUUUAUUUACUCAUGAGAGACAGACAGAGAGGGGCAGAGACAUAGGCAGAGGGAGAAGCAGGCUCCAUGCAGAGAGCCCAAUGUGAGACUGGAUCCUGAGACUCCAGGAUCAUGCCCUGAGCCAAAGGCAGACAGACGCUGAACCGCUGAGCCACCCAGGCAUCCCUCCUAUUGGAUUUUUCAAUUAUAAAGAAUCGAGGACUACAGGUUCAACAAUGUUGAACAGCGAUGGUGACAGAAGACAUCUCUGUCUUGUUCCUCAUUUAAGGACAUGCUUUCACCAUUACAUUGGGAAGCUGUAGGGUUUUUGUGCAGGCUCGAUAACAGGUCAAGAAAGUGCCCGUGUAUUCUCAGUUUACUAAGAGUUUUUUCAUGAAUAGAGACACUCAAUGUUUUUUCUGCAUCUGUUGAGAUGAUCAUAUGAAUUUAUCCCUUGAAUUGUUACUAUAGAGAAUUACAUUAAUAUAUUUGCUAAUAUUAAAUUGUUUAACAUUCUUAUAAUAAACUUAACCAUGAUGUAUUACAAUUUUUAGUUUGUUAGAUUCAGUUUGUUAAAUUUUUAUUUUUGCAUUGACAUUCAAAAACAAAGUUGUACUAUUUUUGUCUAAUUUUGUUCCUAAGGUUAUGUUAACCUCAUAAAAUGAAUUGAGGAACACUCUUUCUCAUUCUGUUUUCUGGAAGAUUUUGUGUUAUACUGGUUUGAUCUGUUCUCUAAAUGUUUGGCUAACUGACCAGUAAAGCCUCUAUGCCUGA